ACCUUUUGGUAAUAUUGUCCAAUCCUCUCAUCCUCAUAUGCAAGAAAUCAUUGUAUCUAAAGGAAACACUGAAAUUCUUGCAUCCCCUCUCAAUAAAAUAUCUACAGAACGAUUAGAUGAACCUGAAAUCGUUGCUAAAGAUAUUAAAAACAUUCAAGCUUAAAAAAACUAUACAACUUUAUUCUACAAUCUAAGUGUUCUCAACUUAAUAGAAUCGAAAUAAAUUCUGAUUCUGAAGCAUCUACUUCUUCCAAAUCUACCAAAAAAAACUUAUCAGUCCGACUUUAUGCAAAUUUCAUGAAGUCACUCCUCAAUCUAGAAGUCUUAAUGGUGAGGUUAAUGUUCUUAAAAAACUUGAUACUUGGUUAUCCAUAUUAUCUUCCUCCUCUACUUCAAAUAAUAUCACUACUAUCAAUGAACUUGAAUAUCAAUUUAUUGAUGAUGAAGUUCCUCAUAUCAAUAAAUUACGAGGUCAAAACAAUCAAUAUUAAAAAAUUCCUCCUUAUUAUCCUCGACAUACUGCUCCAAACUUACUCUUUGAAAAAAAAAAGAAGAAGAAGAAGCAAGUUACAUUUGAUGGUAAAAAUAUUGUCGAAUGGAAUAUUGACGGAGUAUCUGAAUAUCAAUUAGUUCAAUUACUUAAGAAAAUGGGUAUUUGUUAUAAUUCUUAUAUUAUUAACAAGAUUGGCAAUUUUCAAGCUACUAAUAAUUUAACCCUUGGUUUUACUGGAAAAUUCAAAAAUUGGUGGUUUAAUUAUCACACCAAAGAAGAAAGAAAUGAUAUAGCUAACGUUGUUAAUGAUAAGGGUGACAAUAGUAGUUUUGCUACUUUUGUUUAUGGUAUUAUCAAACAUUUUUAUCGAAAUUCGUACUGAUAUUAGGGAUAAAAAUUUCAACGUUUUUAUGGACCUCAAUUGUCCUAGCUUACAAGUUUUUAGCCGAUAUAAAGAUAUUUUUUAACACGUGUCUUAAUGGGAGAAAAUUGUGAUCAACCUUACUAGAAGGAAAGAUUUUUAUCUGGACUCUGUAAACUCUUCUUUAAAAAGGUCAAAACUGAUAUAAAAAUGAUAAUGAUAAUAAUAUUCCUUAUCAUAAAAUAACUUA
rnacentral:lncRNA from 1 species